UACGGGGGGGCAAGCGUUGUUCGGAAUUACUGGGCGUAAAGGGGACGUAGGCGGCCAACUAAGUCCGACGUGAAAUCCCAAGGCUUAACCUUGGAACUGCGUCGGAUACUGGAUGGCUUGAAUUCGGGAGAGGGAUGCAGAAUUCCAGGUGUAGCGGUGAAAUGCGUAGAUAUCUGGAGGAACACCGGUGGCGAAGGCGGCAUCCUGGACCGACACUGACGCUGAGGCGCGAAAGCUAGGGGAGCAAACGGG
rnacentral:rRNA from 1 species